UGGGGAAUUUUGGACAAUGGACGCAAGUCUGAUCCAGCCAUGCCGCGUGCGGGAAGAAGGCCUUCGGGUUGUAAACCGCUUUUGUCAGGGAAGAAACGAGUUUCUCUAAUACAGAGACUUAAUGACGGUACCUGAAGAAUAAGCACCGGCUAACUACGUGCCAGCAGCCGCGGUAAUACGUAGGGUGCAAGCGUUAAUCGGAAUUACUGGGCGUAAAGCGUGCGCAGGCGGUUAUGUAAGACAGAUGUGAAAUCCCCGGGCUCAACCUGGGAACUGCGUUUGUGACUGCAUCGCUGGAGUGCGGCAGAGGGGGAUGGAAUUCCGCGUGUAGCAGUGAAAUGCGUAGAUAUGCGGAGGAACACCGAUGGCGAAGGCAAUCCCCUGGACCUGUACUGACGCUCAUGCACGAAAGCGUGGGGAGCAAACA
rnacentral:rRNA from 1 species